UGAACAUAGUACAAAUAUAGAUACAACUCUUGGCAAAUUUAAGAAUUCUUGAGGUAAGCUUACUAAUUUGAUUUAAAAGUCUUGGUGGCUUACUUAGGACAUAAAUCUUAGGAAAACAUGUCUAAAACUAUAAACUUUAACUCCAUUAAUUU